rnacentral:rRNA from 1 species
GAUGAACGCUAGCUACAGGCUUAACACAUGCAAGUCGAGGGCAGCGCAGUGUAGUAAUACAUUGGGGCGGCGACCGGCGCACGGGUGCGUAACGCGUAUCCAACUUCCCGUUACUCAGGGAUAGCCUUCCGAAAGGGAGAUUAAUACCUGAUGGUGUUCAAAUUCCGCAUGUUAUUUGAACUAAAGAUUUAUCGGUAACGGAUGGGGAUGCGUGACAUUAGAUAGUAGGCGGGGUAACGGCCCACCUAGUCUACGAUGUCUAGGGGUUCUGAGAGGAAGGUCCCCCACACUGGAACUGAGACACGGUCCAGACUCCUACGGGAGGCAGCAGUGGGGAAUAUUGGGCAAUGGGGGAAACCCUGACCCAGCAACGCCGCGUGAAGGAAGAAGGCCUUCGGGUUGUAAACUUCUUUUACCAGGGACGAAGAACGUGACGGUACCUGGAGAAAAAGCAACGGCUAACUACGUG